AAAGACACAUAAUACCCGUAGUUACUAAAACUAGUCCUCAGAUCAGUUCUAUUCACAUAAAUAACAAAAGACACAUAAUACCCGUAGUUACUUAAACUAGUCCUCAGAUCAGUUCUAUUCACAUAAAUUAACAAAAGACACAAAAUACCCGUAGUUACUUAAACUAGUCCUCGAUCAGUUCUAUUCACAUAAAUAACAAAAGACACAAAAUACCCGUAGUUACUUAAACUAGUCCUCAGAUCAGUUCUAUUCACAUAAAUAACAAAAGACACAAAAUACCCGUAGUUACUAAAACUAGUCAUCAGAUCUGUUCUAUUCACAUAAAUAACAAAAAGACACA
rnacentral:lncRNA from 1 species